GAAAUCCACAUGAACGUAUUUGGGAGGUUUAGUGCUGUAAAAAGUCCCGCAAGCAUUAAUCACAGAUAUUAUUAUUGUUAUUUAUUAUUAUUAUUAUUAUUAUUAUUAUUAUUAUGAAAACACAUUUUACUGAACCAGGCUGGACCCAAACACACGUAAUGCGUCACCAGUUUAAAAUCAGGAUCCGGGCCGCUGAGGAUCCCUGUGCUGACGGUCGGGUGUGAGGCCGGUCUUGUUGGUGUCACAGUGGAGAAGCGGUUCUUCCUGAAGUCCAGUCCGUCAGCACCGGCUGAUCCGAAUGAUCGAUUCCGCUGAACAGAAGUUAAACUGCCACGCGGGACUCAAACUAUGGCGCUGCAGCUUGUUGGCGAGCGUUUCUCUGCACGGCUACCAGAGGAGCUCAGACCCCGUCCCCCACCUGGCCCCUGAGACUUAUUCUGUGGCCCCCCAGGCUGGGAGCCUCUGUCCCCCAUGAGGGUCUGGGGCAAAAAAAAAAAAAACCUGCUGCAAUAAAACCCCAAAUAAAUUACUGAAAUUCA